rnacentral:SRP_RNA from 1 species
GUUUUGCAUGGUGGCAUAUGCCUGUAGUCCCAGCUACUCAGGACCCUGAGGCAGGAGGAUUGCUUGAGUCUAGGAUUUCUGGGCUGAAGUGCACUAUGCCGACUGGGUGUUCACGUUAAGUUCAGUAUCAAUAUGGUGACCCCACAGGAACGGGAGACCACCAGGUUGCCUAAGGAGCGGUGAACUGGCCCCCCAGGUCAGAAAAGGAGCAGGUCAAAACUCCUGUGCUGAUCAGUAGUGGGAUUGCUCCUGUGAAUAGCCACUGCAUUCCAGCCUGGGUGACAGUGGGACCCUGCCUCU